AACGAACGCUAUCGGUAUGCUUAACACAUGCAAGUCGGACGGACUAAUUAGGGCUUGCUCCAAUUAGUUAGUGGCAGACGGGUGAGUAACACGUGGGAAUCUGCCCAUCAGUACGGAAUAACUUUUAGAAAUAAAAGCUAAUACCGUAUAUUCUCUACAGAGGAAAGAUUUAUCGCUGAUGGAUGAGCCCGCGUCAGAUUAGGUAGUUGGUGAGGUAACGGCUCACCAAGCCGACGAUCUGUAGCUGGUCUGAGAGGAUGAUCAGCCACACUGGGACUGAGACACGGACCAGACUCCUACGGGAGGCAGCAGUGGGGAAUAUUGGACAAUGGGCGAAAGCCUGAUACAGCAAUACCGAGUGAGUGAUAAAGGCCCUAGGGUUGUAAAGCUCUUUUAGCAAGGAAGAUAAUGACGUUACUUGCAGAAAAAGCCCCGGCUAACUCCGUG
rnacentral:rRNA from 1 species